CCUGAGGCACAGACCGGGGAGGGAAUCUGAUCAUUCCCUGUAGCCGCUCUGGGGAGGAUAAAGGCGGAGGAGGGAUGGAGGGAUGGAGGACGAUGUUGGUCUCAGCGCUGAGCAUCCAUGAGGGUGGUUUUGGGGAGCAGAGCUGCCCCAUCGAGGGGACCACAGAGCAUCCACUGCCCGCAGGGCACAGGGGCACAGCACCCACGGUGCAGUGGGGUCCGUGGCUGCAGGCUCCCCACGGGCUGGUCCUCCUCAAGGGGCCGGGAAGCACAUCCCGGGGGGGACGGAGGGAGCAAAGGCUGAAGGAUGUCGGCACUGCCCAGACUGAGCUGCGAUCCGGAGCCUGGGAACAAGCCGGCAGGAUUAGGCCUUCCCCUGGGGCUGGGGCUGCUCCACCCCGCAGCCCUCGGGAGCGGCCGCGUGUGCCGGUGGGGAGAGGCUGAUCCCGAGGUCCGGAUCCUGCCCCGGCUCCGUGGCCGCCUGCUCUCACCGGGGCCCCUCCAUGGUGACAGCGUCGUGGGUGCUGAGGGGAUGUUUGGGUGCUGGGUUCUGGUCCCCAGUGACAGGGAUUGGUCGCCAGGCUGACAGGGGGGUGCUGGAUGGGGGUGAUGAAGAUGCCCGUGUCCUAGGGAGCCCUGGCAGGGCAUUGGGAUGCAGGGCAGGGAUGAUGCUGAGGAUGGGAGCAGCAUCCCCCAGCCCAUGUCCCGGUGGCAGCAGGGGCUGCCCUGUCACCCAUCCAGAACAGGAUGAGGGAGCUGUGGCUCAGGGAACCCUCCUGCGGUGCCGGAGGCUGUUGGGAGCCCCAGCCGGGAGCGCUGCCAGCACGAAGCACCCCAACACGUUCCUUUGCCAUGUGGCAAUGGGGCCUGGCAGGAGGAGCUGCCCCGGGCGCUCCCAUGGGGCUCACUCUGGUUAUCACUUGGGCUCUGCUCCUCUGCCCUCACCACGGCUGCAGUGGGGCUCUGGGACUGGAGGGGUGAGACUGGGAGCACUGGGAGCUGCUGCCCGGUGCUUCCAGAACCAGGCACCGGGAAGCAAAGCGCCAGGGGCUGUUUUGGGGACAGCACAAGUCCUUUGUUAUAAACAGCAGCUCAGGACGGGGAUCGGGUGGGGAUGGAGUCACAGGCACUUGCUCAACCCUUCCCCAUGGCUGCAGCUUGGCAAUGGCUUCACUGGGCCCUGCAGGUCCUGGUGGGUGCCAGGGGGUUGUUGCCUGAUGAAAGCCCCCCCGAGGCACUGGAGCCGCUGUCUCAUCCUUGCCCAGUGGUACCCAUGGGCUGCACCUCACCUCUUGCCCACUGGAGCACGGCUCUCCCCUUCCCACCGCAGCGUGUGCCCGGUGGGCAGCAGGGCAGGAUGCGGUGCAGGGAUCCAAAGGCCCUGCCGAUGCCCUGGGUGUUCCCUGUGUCGGAGCUGCUGGUCCGACCGCAUGCCUUUCCCAUUAGCAGCUGUGCCGGGCACACACCAGUGCAGCCACAGCCCGGCUGCAGCCACCUUCCGGGCUCAUCUCCACCUCCUGCAGCACCAUCGCAUCCCUCCUGCCCAUGGUGCCCAGUGCAGGGCCGUGUAUCCACACUGGUGCCACCAGCAUCCACAGGCAGCACCAUCCCAGCCCCAUUGGGCUCCUGGGAACCGGCUGGGCCAUGGGGAGGAGAGGAAUAAAGAUGGAAUCCUCCCUGGAUCAGAGGUUCCCAAUCCCGGCUGAGCCAUCAUUCCCACUGUCUGGCGAGGGUCAGCGGCCCCGUCCCUCCAGGGGACACUGUGCUCCCUUGCCCUUCCCCAGGUCACGGCCCUGCUUCCCUGUCCCUGUCCCACAGGCAUCGUCGAGAUCCGGUCGGUGCGUGUCGGCGUCGUGGCCAUCCGUGCGGUGCACACCGGCUUCUACCUGGCCAUGAACAAGCGGGGCAGGCUCUAUGGGUCGGAAUUCAGCCCCAACUGCAAGUUCAUGGAGCGCAUCGAGGAGAACGGCUACAACACGUACGCGGCUCUGCGCUGGCGGCACCGGGGCCGCCCCAUGUUCCUCUCACUCAACAGCAAGGGCAGGCCACGGAGAGGGGGCAAG